GACGCAAAGGACACACCCGUUCCCAUGCCGAACACGGAAGUUAAGCUUUGUGGUGCCGAAGAUACUUGGUGGGAGACUGCCUGGGAAAAUAGGGAAGCGCCGGCA
rnacentral:rRNA from 1 species